rnacentral:tRNA from 1 species
GGGGGCGUAGCUCAGUUGGUAGAGCGCUUGCAUGGCAUGCAAGAGGUCCGUGGGUUCGAGUCCCAUCGCCUCCA